UAUAUUAAAAUGGAUAUAACUAAUAUGAAAAAAUGCGAUCAGAGUGUACAUCUUCAACUAUAUUUAUAGUUAACUAUACUUACUCGUAAAGACUUAACUGGUUGAAGUUCUUCAGAGAUAUCACAGUCAUCUCCACUUAAACUGGAGUUCAGAAGGAUUAUCAUCUGUAUAUUCAAGAACUGGAGAAUCAAAUUUACUGUAAUAUGGACCAGUAGUCUCCACACAUGAAUUUCUUCUGUUCCCAGCUUCAUGUAGAUUCCUGAAACAAGCACAAACAACAGGAAUCAGAAUGUCGACGAAGACGACAAACUUGAAGGAAUUUUAAAUUUAAAGAUUCUUGAAUCUCAUCACAAUCCAGACAAGAACAACUACUGGCUUGACUUGGACUGCCACUCGUUCCAUCGUAUUUUUCGACAUCAAGAUUGGUUCUCUCAAAGUUUUCAUCUAA